AGCAGCAUUGGCAAUCAGUUCAUCUGCACAACAUUUUGAAGAGGAAAAAAGAGAUGAAUCAAUGAUUUAGAAUAUGAAAUCAGUAUAUAAAGAUGAGGGUAAUGAAAAAAGCAAGUAAUUAAUACACUAAAAUUGAAGCAAAAAUGAAAAACUAAAUAAUAAAAAUAAAAACUCCUCUUCUUGAUGAUAAGAAACCCAAAAACAUAAUGAAUUGAGGUUUUUGCAUGAAAGGAAAAAAUUAAAUAACACUUAAAAAAUAAUCAACUAGCUAAGAUAUAAUUCAUAAGACACACCAGUUAAAAAUAUUAUCUUUUGUUAAUCACCACGAUUCACAUAAUCACAUUACAUAUAGAGAGAACACAAAGCAGCAAGAGAAUAAGAGUAAUUCACAAAAUCAAGCAAAAGAAGCAAUUAGAACAAGAAAGAUCCAUGUAAAACCAAAAAUUCUAGUGCUAAUUUCCACCGAGAAGAAAGUAUCAAAUUUGUUCCUAAAAGUUCCACAGACAGAAAGUUUAACACAAUUUUCAUACCUGUUAGAGUUAAAUCUUGCAGAUAAAUGAUCGUAAAAACCUACAAGUUACGUCCUAAAAUAGCAUCAAGUUCAACGUAAAGAAAAGGAUAUACAGUAAAAAGAUGAUGAUGAAAAAAUUGACUUGUGG
rnacentral:misc_RNA from 1 species